rnacentral:lncRNA from 1 species
AAUUUUGCACACCAAAGAAACAGUCAAUUUGUUGACCAUUUUGGUCGAUGAGGUUUUAUUUUGUGUCGGCAUACGUUAAACUUGUUACUUUUGGAGACAUGGUUCGAUGUGUGAAAUGUAGUGUACGAGAAAAAUGCUUUGGGAGUAAGGCAAGAAUGCAAGAUGUGGUGGAAUGAAUCAGUUUCCCAACUGAGGAAGAGAUGAUGCUCCGAAAAGCAAAAGCAAAAGUAGAAAAGUAAAUAGGUAAAGGGAAACGCAGAUACAUGAAUGCCUCUGCACUGCAGGCCUAUGGUCCGUUUCUAUCAGGGAAAGGGAGAACCAUACUGUAAUCAACUGAUUCCU